GAAGAGCCCAUUGACUACUAGACAAGUAAUAAUCACCUUUGCAGGAUCAACUGAAAUUAUAGUCGCGGUUGUCGAUGAUGCACCGAUUUAUGCAACUGGCGAUGAGGGAGGAAGGAGGAGUCAGGCUACUACUAUAGUGGACUCGGAGGAGAAAAACCAAAGAGGGGCGAGCGAGGGAACAGAUUGAUAAAGCAUGUUGUGGAUGAAAUCAUGCAAGGACCUGAAAAAGUAUACGAUGAAAAGAGAAGAAAUACGAGACAACAGAGUGCCAAGAUAGAACGUAUUGUUACAGUAAAAAAAUAUCCUUGAUGGCCAUUGGAUCUAGAUCCUUCUCCUGCAUCUCUACUUUUCUCCAUCCAUUUGGUGAUGCAACUACAGAAGACCAAACCUCCACAAACCGGACUAAGCUUAAAGCUUUCAAAAGGUCGCAUGAGCCACCCAAACCAACAAAUGACAGACUAAGAUCAUCGAAUACACUACGGUGCCAUCCAAACUCUAGUUUUUAUUUUAUACGAAUUUGCUAUUUGCUAGCAUAUUUUUGUGUGUGUGCUUUAUUGUUCGAUGUGUGCAUUCUAUGUAUGCAAAGUCCGUGUGUGUGCUCAUUGUGUUUGUAUUUUCUUGAUGCUUCAUUUUGAGUCAAUAAAAUCCAUCCAUUGUCGAAAAAGAACUGCCAACCUUGAGCCUAAUGAGUAAACACAUCAUACUGAUUGUCGCUUGAGUUAGCAAAAAAGGUAAUACUAAUUAGCUGGCCCACCCAUCGGGCUGAGUUGGCA
rnacentral:lncRNA from 1 species